CCUACGGGGGGCUGCAGUGGGGAAUUUUGGACAAUGGGGGCAACCCUGAUCCAGCCAUGCCGCGUGAGUGAAGAAGGCCUUCGGGUUGUAAAGCUCUUUCGGCCGGGAAGAAAUCGCUCAAGCUAAUACCUUGGGUGGAUGACGGUACCGGAAGAAGAAGCACCGGCUAACUACGUGCCAGCAGCCGCGGUAAUACGUAGGGUGCGAACGUUAAUCGGAAUUAGUGGGCGUAAAGCCAGAACAAAGAGCUGAAAUCCCCGGGCUUAACAUGGGAACUGCGGUUGUGACUGUGGUGCUCGAGUGCGGCAGAGGGGGGUGGAAUUCCACGUGUAGCAGUGAAAUGCGUAGAGAUGUGGAGGAACACCGAUGGCGAAGGCAGCCCCCUGGGUCGACACUGACGCUCAUGCACGAAAGCGUGGGGAGCAAACAGGAUUAGAUACCCCUGUAGUC
rnacentral:rRNA from 1 species